AACGAACGCUGGCGGCAUGCCUAACACAUGCAAGUCGAACGAGACCUUCGGGUCUAGUGGCGCACGGGUGCGUAACGCGUGGGAAUCUGCCCUUGGGUUCGGAAUAACAGUUGGAAACGACUGCUAAUACCGGAUGAUGACGUAAGUCCAAAGAUUUAUCGCCCAGGGAUGAGCCCGCGUAGGAUUAGCUAGUUGGUGGGGUAAAGGCCUACCAAGGCGACGAUCCUUAGCUGGUCUGAGAGGAUGAUCAGCCACACUGGGACUGAGACACGGCCCAGACUCCUACGGGAGGCAGCAGUGGGGAAUAUUGGACAAUGGGCGAAAGCCUGAUCCAGCAAUGCCGCGUGAGUGAUGAAGGCCUUAGGGUUGUAAAGCUCUUUUACCCGGGAUGAUAAUGACAGUACCGGGAGAAUAAGCCCCGGCUAACUCCGUGCCAGCCGCCGCCGUAACAC
rnacentral:rRNA from 1 species